UACGGAGGGUGCGAGCGUUGUCCGGAAUCACUGGGCGUAAAGGGCGCGUAGGCGGCAUGCCAAGCGUGUGGUGAAAGCCCGGGGCUCAACCCCGGGUCGGCCGUGCGGACUGGCAUGCUCGAGCACUGUAGGGGCGGGUGGAAUUCCGGGUGUAGCGGUGGAAUGCGUAGAUAUCCGGAGGAACACCAGUGGCGAAAGCGGCCACCUGGACUGCACCUGACGCUGACACGCGAAAGCUAGGGGAGCGAACGGG
rnacentral:rRNA from 1 species